CAAACUCAGCAAAACUCCCCCCCCCGGGGACA
rnacentral:sRNA from 1 species